GCACUGGUGGUUCAGUGGUAGAAUUCUCGCCUUCCAUGCAGGAGACAUGAGUUCGAUUCCCAGCCAGUGUA
rnacentral:tRNA from 1 species